CAGCCGCCGCGGGAAUACGAAGGGGGCUAGCGUUGCUCGGAAUGACUGGGCGUAAAGGGCGCGUAGGCGGCUUGCACAGUCAGAUGUGAAAUUCCUGGGCUUAACCUGGGGGCUGCAUUUGAUACGUGUGGGCUAGAGUGUGAAAGAGGGUCGUGGAAUUCCCAGUGUAGAGGUGAAAUUCGUCGAUAUUGGGAAGAACACCGGUGGCGAAGGCGGCGACCUGGUUCAUGACUGACGCUGAGGCGCGAAAGCGUGGGGAGCAAACAGGAUUAGAUACCCCAGUAGUCCCUGUCUCUUAUAC
rnacentral:rRNA from 1 species